rnacentral:lncRNA from 1 species
UUCUUUCUCUUCCUCUAUAUUAUCCCCCUUCUCCCCAUAUGUCUGUCUCUUCCUCGAUAUUACCCCUUCUCCCCAUAUGUCUUUCUCUUCCUCUAUUAUACCCCCUUCUCCCCAUAUGUCUUUCUCUUUCCUCUAAUUAUCCCCCUUCUCCCCAUAUGUCUUCUCUUCCUCUAUAUUAUCCCCCUUCUCCCCAUAUGUCUUUCUCUUUCUCUAUAUUACCCCCUUCCCCCAUAUGUCUUUCCUUUCCUCUAUAUUAUCCCCCUUCUCCCCAAUGUCUUUCUCUUCCUCUAUAUUCCCCUUCUCCCCAUAUGUCUUUCUCUUCCUCUAUAUUAUCUCCCUUCUCCCCAUAUGUCUUUCUCUUCCUCUAUAUUAUCUCCCUUCUCCCCAUGUCUUUCUCUUCCUCUAUAUUAUCACCCUUCUCCCCAUAUGUUUUUCUCUCCCUAUAUAUCUCCUCUCUCCCCAUAUGUCUUUCUCUUCUCUAUAUUCUCUUCCUCUAUAUUAUCCCCUUCUCCCCUAUGUCUUUUCUUCCUCUAUAUUAUCAACUUCUCCCCAUAUGUCUUUCUCUUCCUCUAUAUUAUCUCCCUUCUCCCCAUAUGUAUUUCUCUUCCUCUAUAUUAUCUCCCCUUCUCCCCAUGUCUUUCUCUUCCCUAUAUUAUCUCCCU